CAGAAAACCGGAAGUGGUGCUGUGGCUCAAGCGGUGGAGCGCUCGCCUGGCUCUGGAGAGCUGAGGACAGCGCCCAGGCCCAGAGUUCAGGCCCCACGACCG